GGAUGCGAUCAUAACAGCACUAAAGCACCGGAUCCCAUCAGAACUCCGAAGUUAAGCGUGCUUGGGCGAGAGUAGUACUAGGAUGGGUGACCUCCUGGGAAGUCCUCAUGUUGCAUUCC
rnacentral:rRNA from 1 species